CGAAAUACAUGAAGAAAAAGUCAGUCGGCGUCUAACAUUCAGAGAGAAAAUACAUAAAACCUGUAAGGGAAUUCAAACUCUGGUCCUGUACCUCCUGAAUUCCUCAUCACGUAUUAUUCUAGUCAAUAUUCAUAAAGACUAUCGUAAAUUGCCCAUACAUACAAGCGUGAGGGUUUAUGAAAAAAGCCCGUCAGAUCGUGUCUGAGUUCCGUGUGUCGGAGCCAGUCAUUCAAGUAAACUGCACAAGGGCGUAUAGACCCUUAACCUGUGUGUGUGUGAAAAUUAAUUAUCCGUGUGAUUAGUGCAAACCAGUCGUGUUCGAAAAUCAGAUCUAAAAGAUCUAUUGUGUUCAUUGCGAAAGACAGUAUGUCCGGCAUAGUCCUGUCUCAACAGGUGUUUCCCACCACCCGUGAAGCCUUUCGUGAAUUUAUUCUGUCUGUCAGGGGUGCUACUGCAUCACCUGUCACUAUCUGCAUCACCUGUCAAAAAAAUAAAACUAGAAAUCGAUAAUGAAGAAACCGAAUGCGGCGCCGGAAAAGAAGGCGAAGCGAGAACCCGUGCGGUCCGUAAUGGAAAAGGGUCCAAUAAUGGUCCUAGUAGUCCAAAUGUCCGGUCGGACACACCCGCUUCGGAUGUAUCUGUGAGCAAUCUGACAAAAAAGUUUGGAUCUCGUACGGUUACUCCGUCCACUAGUCUAUGUGUUCCCUUUCCAACACCCAGUCCAUCGAUUAGUCUACAUGCAAGUGACUUUUCCGACUCAGAGUCCACCAUCUCUACGUCCGUAACUGAAAAUGACUUCCCCGAUUCAGUGUCUACCAUUUCCACACUCGUAACCGCAAGAGAGGCUCCGCCUGUCCUCCAGCAACCGCAACCGAAUAUGCACAGCGAUGAGGA
rnacentral:sRNA from 1 species